GUGGAUGUAGCUCAGUGGCAAAGUAUGUGUUUAGCAUGCACAAGGCCUUGGGUUCAAUCUCCAACACCAUCA
rnacentral:tRNA from 1 species